rnacentral:miRNA from 1 species
UUUUGUAUACAGUAUCCGGAAG